rnacentral:rRNA from 1 species
AGAGUUUGAUCCUGGCUCAGAACGAACGCUGGCGGCGUGUUUAAGACAUGCAAGUCGCACGGUGUCAUUUUGGUAGCAAUACUUGGAUGGCAUAGUGGCGCACGGGUGAGUAACACGUGAAUUACAUGCCCUGUAGAGGGGGAUAGCCCAGGGAAACUUGGAUUAAUACCCCAUGGUCUCGCAAGAGUAUAGGUGGCCGCAAGGCUGUCGCUACAGGAUUGGUUCGCGCCCUAUCAGCUUGUUGGCGGGGUAACGGCCCACCAAGGCUACGACGGGUACCUGGUCUGAGAGGACGAUCAGGCACACUGGAACUGAGACACGGUCCAGACACCUACGGGUGGCAGCAGUCGAGAAUAAUUCACAAUGGGGGCAACCCUGAUGGUGCAACGCCGCGUGGAGGAUGAAGGUCUUCGGAUUGUAAACUCCUGUCAUCCGGGAGCAAGACCUGACGGUUAACAGCCGGCAGGGUUGAUAGUACCGGAAGAGGAAGGGACGGCUAACUUCGUGCCAGCAGCCGCGGUAAUACGGAGGAUGCGAGCGUUAUCCGGAUUCAUUGGGUUUAAAGGGUGCGUAGGCGGACUAUUAAGUCAGUGGUGAAAUCCUGCAGCUUAACUGCAGAACUGCCAUUGAUACUGAUAGCCUUGAGUUUGGUUAAGGUAGGCGGAAUGUGUAAUGUAGCGGUGAAAUGCUUAGAUAUUACACAGAACACCAAUUGCGUAGGCAGCUUACUGAGCCGACACUGACGCUGAGGCACGAAAGCGUGGGGAUCGAACAGGAUUAGAUACCCUGGUAGUCCACGCCGUAAACGAUGAUUACUCGCUGUUGGCGAUACACUGUCAGCGGCUAAGCAAAAGCAAUAAGUAAUCCACCUGGGGAGUACGGCCGCAAGGUUGAAACUCAAAGGAAUUGACGGGGGCCCGCACAAGCGGAGGAACAUGUGGUUUAAUUCGAUGAUACGCGAGGAACCUUACCUGGGCUUAAAUGUAGAGUGCAUUUUUUAGAGAUAGAAAUUCCCUUCGGGGCUUUCUGCAAGGUGCUGCAUGGUUGUCGUCAGCUCGUGCCGUGAGGUGUCGGGUUAAGUCCCAUAACGAGCGCAACCCUUAUCGUUAGUUGCCAUCUGGUAAUGCAGGGGACUCUAGCGAAACUGCCACCGUAAGGUGAGAGGAAGGUGGGGAUGACGUCAAAUCAGCACGGCCCUUAUGUCCAGGGCUACACACGUGUUACAAUGGUCGGUACAGAGGGUCGCCAACCCGCGAGGGGGAGCCAAUCCCUUAAAACCGGUCGUAGUCCGGAUUGCAGUCUGCAACUCGACUGCAUGAAGUCGGAAUCGCUAGUAAUCGCGAAUCAGCCAUGUCGCGGUGAAUACGUUCCCGGGUCUUGUACACACCGCCCGUCACACCAUGGAAGUUGACUGCACCAGAAGUAGGUAGCCUAACCGCAAGGAGGGCGCUUACCACGGUGUGCUCAAUGACUGGGGUGAAGUCGUAACAAGGUAACC